rnacentral:rRNA from 1 species
UGACAGUACUCCUACGGGGAGGCAGCAGUGGGGGAAUAUUGCACAAUGGGCGCAAGCCUGAUGCAGCCAUGCCGCGUGUGUGAAGAAGGCCUUCGGGUUGUUAAAGCACUUUCAGUCGUGAGGAAGGUAGUGUAGUUAAUAGCUGCAUUAUUUGACGUUAGCAACAGAAGAAGCACCGGCUAACUCCGUGCCAGCAGCCGCGGUAAUACGGAGGGUGCGAGCGUUAAUCGGAAUUACUGGGCGUAAAGCGCAUGCAGGUGGUUUGUUAAGUCAGAUGUGAAAGCCCGGGGCUCAACCUCGGAAUAGCAUUUGAAACUGGCAGACUAGAGUACUGUAGAGGGGGGUAGGAAUUUCAGGUGUAGCGGUGAAAUGCGUAGAGAUCUGAAGGAAUACCGGUGGCGAAGGCGGCCCCCUGGACAGAUACUGACACUCAGAUGCGAAAGCGUGGGGAGCAAACAGGAUUAGAUACCCUGGUAG